CUUUUUUAAAAAGCCACAAUACCCUUAUCACAUAUAAAAUGUGUGCCAUUAUCACUCUUCCUAUCAUGAACUCUCCAGUCAGUGCUCACAUUUCCCAGUGUCUCAUGAAUGUCAUCAUUUCUCUUUUUUCAACUUGUUUGUUUGAAUCAGGAUACAAAUAAGGUCACUGUGUUCCAAUUGGUUUAUGUGUCUUUAAGUUACUUUGUUUGAAAGUCAUUUGGAAUAGUUUUUCUCUUUGUGGUAUUAAAGUAAAUUAAAAUGAAGACCAGGCCUAAAGAAUCCCUGAGCAAACAAAACCAGUUAGGCUCAGAAGUAGCCAACAAACUUAUAAUUAUAUAAUGAGGGACUUUCCUAUGGGAUAGAUUAAAUAAGGCAACUGUAUAACUGUAACCAAUCAAAUAUUUUCUUUGCUUUACUUCUGUGUUCCUUGUAUAAAAACCCAUCCCUUGUGUUCCCUCACUUCUGGUUUGGAACUGCCCAAUUCAUGAAUUGUUGUUUGCUCCUAUAAAUUCUUUAAAAUUUUAUUGUGCCUCAGUUUACUUUUUUCUUAUUUUUAGAGACAGGGUCCAGAUCUGUUACCCAGGCUGAAGUGCAGUAGCAUGAUCUUAGCUCACUGCAGCCUCAAAUUCCUCAAUCCUCCUGCAUCAGCCUCCUGAGAAGCCAGGACUACAGGUGCACAGCAGCACACCUGGCUAAUAUAUAUAUUAGAAACAGGGUCUUGCUAUGUUCCCCAGGCUGGGCUAGAGCUCCCAGCCUCAAGUGAUCCUCCUGCCUCAGCCUCCUAAAGUGCUGGCAGAGGUGAGCCACUGGGCCUGGCCUCAGUUUAAUUUGAAUGGUGGUUAAAUAAUUAAUUCAAUGUGUAGAUUUAUUUGCUUUAUUUUACUUUAGGUUUUUAGAAUUUUUAAAGCUUUUUAUUUAGAAAUUUAUUUAAAGAUUUUAAAUUUUAUUUCUGGUUCCAAAAUCUAUCAUACAAAUAUAUCCAGAAAGGUCUAGCUUUUAUGCCCCUUUCAAUCCUUUCCCUUCCCCAUAACUAUUAAUUUUUAAACAUUAUUCUUUAUUAUUACAUUAAUUUAAUAUGUAUCACAUACAUAAUGCAUAUGUAUUCGUAUCCCUCCCUCCUUUUUUUUUUUUUUUGUUUGAGAUGAGGAUCUCACUAUGUUGCCCAGGCUGGACUUGAAAUCCUAAAUUCAAGCAAUCCUCCUGCCUCAACCUCGAGUAGCUGGGACUACAGGUAUACGCCUCCACGUUUGGCUCUUCCUUCCUUUUAGUAGGGGCUGCUGUCAUGCAAGGAGGUCUGGCAGUGGAGGAAGAAGACAUGAGCCUUGGGCCAGACUCUUACUGGAUUCCCACCCCACCUGCCCCGUCUUCAGCAGACAAGCUGGUACCCAGCACAAAGGCUCCAGCUGCUGAGCUGUGUGUGGGAGCCUGGUCUCUGGGUGCCCAGAAUGAAGGGUCAGACCCAGGUCACUGCCUGACUCUUUCUUUCAAGGACCGAAGUAAGAACUACAGGCCUAACAGUAACAUCCCUGGCUAUUUGUAGAAGUCCGCUUGGUCGGUCCAUGCUCUAUAACAUGAAUUUCUCAUACAACCCAUUUUUAGAUGGGGAAACAAGAGCUCAGAGAGGCUAGGUAACUUGUUCAAGAUCACACAGCUCUGAGUGCAAGUGUUCAAACAUAGUCCCCACUUUCCAUCCGUCUCCAAAUCCUGUGCAGUUUCUGGAAUAUUCUGCUGUCA
rnacentral:lncRNA from 1 species